UGAGCUUGAAUCCAAACACCUUCAUCACCGUUCACGAACCCAAACGCCUCAUACCUAGAAUACCCAGAUGGCUUCUCCUUCUCCGUAACGGCUACUUUUUUCUUCUCAUAUGGUCAGAGCAGGAGGAGACCUCAAGAUUCACCUGACUCUCUCUGGUUUUGUGGUGAAGAAGGACUUGUUCAUCGCUUUGUUGCUUCAGCGAAUGGACUGCGAUAACGACAAGUAAAUCCCUCUUUCUUUUUUUAUUUUUAUUUUUUGAUAUCUAUGAUCGGUUUUCGUAUAUGGGUUUUUCUCCGAAUUGCAUUUUUUUUUAGUUUGUUCUUGGUUGUGGUUACUAUACUUGAUUCUUCAUUUCUUGAUAUCUAUGGUUCGGUUUGUAUUUAAGAUUUUUUUAUUUAAGUUAAAUGUGUGGAGAUGAUAUGACUUAAUCUGCAGAUUUAAGGAGAAUGAGUGGAAAUGAAUGAAUGGACUAUGUGAUUUGGUUGUUGGGUCAUUUUGCUUUUGCCUUUUAUUUUGCCCUUUUAUCACGUAAAAUCUAAUUGUCUAUGUUUGGAUUAUGAUACCCUUUUAGUAAGCAUUUUGUAGCAUUGUCCUUUUAUUUUUACUGAUUUUUUAUUUUCCUUCUUCAUUUUGGAAUGCUAGUACUGAAUACCGUUGUUUGAUUUCCAAGCCACCGCCAUCCAUUGUCCAAGCUGCUGCCAUUCGUGGGUGUUCUUCUCUGAUGUGUUGUAAAUCAUUAAAGCAGAAAGGCAGAAAGAGACCAUGGCUUCUCCUUCUCCUUCUCACCUCACAGCUAUCCCACAACGCCUCUCAAAACCCUCCAUUUCCCACUUAAACUCGAAGCCAGUCGAGCUCCGUGUGAGGUCGAGUUUGGAAAAUGAGAGCAGUGGCACUGAGGAUUCUGGUCACUCAUCAUCAAAACCUCUGAAGGGAUCUCAGCCAGCAAUCAAUCGGAUUUUGU